AGAGUUUGAUCCUGGCUCAGGACGAACGCUGGCGGCGUGCCUAACACAUGCAAGUCGAGCGAGAGGAGUUCUUCGGAACGAAUCUAGCGGCGGACGGGUGAGUAACACGUGGGCAACCUACCUUAUAGAGGGGAAUAGCCUUCCGAAAGGAAGAUUAAUACCGCAUAACAUUGCAGUUUCGCAUGAAGCAGCAAUUAAAGGAGAAAUCCGCUAUAAGAUGGGCCCGCGGCGCAUUAGCUAGUUGGUGAGGUAAAGGCUCACCAAGGCGACGAUGCGUAGCCGACCUGAGAGGGUGAUCGGCCACAUUGGGACUGAGACACGGCCCAGACUCCUACGGGAGGCAGCAGUGGGGAAUAUUGCACAAUGGGGGAAACCCUGAUGCAGCAACGCCGCGUGAGUGAUGAAGGUUUUCGGAUCGUAAAACUCUGUCUUUGGGGACGAUAAUGACGGUACCCAAGGAGGAAGCCACGGCUAACUACGUGCCAGCAGCCGCGGUAAUACGUAGGUGGCAAGCGUUGUCCGGAUUUACUGGGCGUAAAGGGAGCGUAGGUGGAUUUUUAAGUGAGAUGUGAAAUACUCGGGCUCAACCCCGAGAACUGCAUUUCAAACUGGAAAUCUAGAGUGCAGGAGAGG
rnacentral:rRNA from 2 species